rnacentral:misc_RNA from 1 species
AAGACUAUAGACCUGCGGAGUACCUGCGGAAGGAUCAUUAACGUAUCUAUGAUGGGGUGCGGAGCGCCCUGCUCCGGUCGAACGGCCGUGCAGCGGGUGCGCCGCCCCCGUCCCACCUCACAAACCCACUGUGAACAUUCACCCGUGGAGGGGGCUCGGUCUGCGCCGUGUCCCCGAUGCCGAAUACCCAAACUCCAGUUGCAAAGAACGUCGUGCGGACUCGGUGCCGCCUAAAACAUG